rnacentral:tRNA from 1 species
GCCCCCAUAGUCUAGAGGCCUAGGACGCUUUCCUUUCACGAAAGAAACAGGGAUUCGAAUUCCCUUGGGGGUA